CAGGCGGGUAGAGCAAACAAGUAAGCAGCGUUCCUUCAUGGUUUGUGUUUCACUUCCUUCUUCUAGGUUCCUGCCCUGAGGUCCCUCAAUGAUGGACUGUGAGCUAAAAGAAUUUGAACCAAAGCUUGCAGAGGUCUGCCUUAUGGCCAGGGACAGGCAUGUGAAGACUCUUGCCCAGCUACUCAGUGACCAUUGCCGCUGGGACCUACGGAUGGACAUGCACUGAGGAUAAAACCCAGAGUCUCGAGUGUGCUAGGAAAGUGUUCUUUGUUGAGCUACACCCCAAGUCUCAGUCUCUUCCAUUGAUUGAUGAUUGAUUGAGAUAGGAUUUUUUCUGUGUUAUCUCAGACUGGCCUGGAACUCACCAUGUAGCCCAGUCUAGCCUCAAACUCAUGGCAGUCCUCUUGCCUCCAUCACCUAAGCACUAAGAUUAUAGGAAGCACAAGAGACCCCGGACAGCCAAAACACCCCUGAGAACUAAGAGCAA